UACGAAGGGGGCUAGCGUUGUUCGGAAUUACUGGGCGUAAAGCGCGCGCAGGCGGCUAUCCAAGUCAGUGGUGAAAGCCCGGAGCUCAACUCCGGAACUGCCAUUGAAACUGUUUAGCUUGAGGACGAGAGAGGUGAGUGGAAUUCCCAGUGUAGAGGUGAAAUUCGUAGAUAUUGGGAAGAACACCGGUGGCGAAGGCGGCUCACUGGCUCGUAUCUGACGCUCAGGCGCGACAGCGUGGGGAGCGAACAGG
rnacentral:rRNA from 1 species